CCUACGGGUGGCAGCAGUGGGGAAUUUUGGACAAUGGGCGAAAGCCUGAUCCAGCCAUGCCGCGUGAGUGAAGAAGGCCUUCGGGUUGUAAAGCUCUUUCGGCGGGGAAGAAAUGGCACUUUCUAAUACAGAGUGUUGAUGACGGUACCCGCAUAAGAAGCACCGGCUAACUACGUGCCAGCAGCCGCGGUAAUACGUAGGGUGCGAGCGUUAAUCGGAAUUACUGGGCGUAAAGCGUGCGCAGGCGGUUGUGUAAGUCAGAUGUGAAAUCCCCG
rnacentral:rRNA from 1 species